GCGCGAAAACUUUACAAUGCUGGCAACAGCGAUAAGGGAACCUCGAGUGCCAGGUUACAAAUCUGGCUGUCGAGAUGCCUAAAAAGCAUUUCAUAGCAAGGGCCGGGCAAGACCGGUGCCAGCCGCCGCGGUAACACCGGCGGCUCGAGUGGUAACCGUUAUUAUUGGGUCUAAAGGGUCUGUAGCCGGCCGGAUAAGUCUCUUGAGAAAUCUGGCAGCUUAACUGUCAGGCUUUCCGGAGAUACUGUCUGUCUCGAGGCCGGGAGAGGUGAGAGGUACUUCAGGGGUAGGGGUGAAAUCUUGUAAUCCUUGAAGGACCACCAGUGGCGAAGGCGGCUCACCAGAACGGACCUGACGGCAAGGGACGAAAGCUAGGGGCACGAACCG
rnacentral:rRNA from 1 species